rnacentral:lncRNA from 1 species
UGAAAGACUACCCGGUCCAGGAUCCCUGUGAAGUGUUUGGCCUGUACCAGGAAAAAGCUUUCUCCUCACAUGGAAACCCACGGUGAGAAAGCGACACUAUUUCAUGGCGUACGUGGAAGCUUGCUGCUCGAAGGGCCCGUGGAAUUCAGAAGAGGCUGGAGGAAAAAGAAGCGCCAUCUCUUCUUGUUGAAUGAUCUUUUGGUUGUGUCUAAUAAUGACACAAGAAGAAGUUUAAGAUAAAAUAUAUCAUCCCACUGAGUUACCUCUGGAUUUGUGACUAUGCAGACCUUGUGGGAGGAGACAACAGGACUGCCUCCAAGUCCAUCUUCCUUUGCUGGCCCAUGGAAAAUUUUGUGGCCACCUUCUGUACCAAGGAACAGAAAAAAUGGUGGUGGUUUUUCCUCCAAAGAUACAUCAAUGAGGCCAAGAUGAAUGGCGAGAGUAAGAGUGCUGCACUGCAGAUGGUCACAGAGGACAUCCGACGCUGCACCAGCGCAUGCGCCUAGACAUCUGCUGCUGUCUUUGCCCAAUCCAGAGGAAGACUCCCAUUUAUUCCCUCCAGGAUAAAUAAAAUAUUAUUUGUGUUGAG